rnacentral:misc_RNA from 1 species
AAGUCGUAACAAGGUUUCCGUAGGUGAACCUGCGGAAGGAUCAUUAACACGUAUCCAAACGUUAAAACCGCCCCCGUGAACCUUCGGAAAGUUGUAGUGAUUCAGAGACCUCUGGCUACGUGCUAACAUUGGAACAGUUACAAUCGAGCGGUAGUUCUAUAGGCAAUGUUUCCCCAAGCAGUCAGUGUCGGAAAGUGUCAUUGAUUGUGCAAGGAUAGCGCUUCUACGAUUCCUGUAGACCGUACACUCGGGCAGGAGCUUUGCCAAAGGGUCCCCAUGCCCCCUAAUAACCCCACAGUUUAAUGUGAAGCUCAAUGUAAUACAUUGGGUAAAAAAACCGAACAACUGUUAACAAUGGAUAUCUUGGUUCUC